AUGAACGCUAGCUACAGGCUUAACACAUGCAAGUCGAGGGGCAGCAUUUUAGUUUGCUUGCAAACUGAAGAUGGCGACCGGCGCACGGGUGAGUAACACGUAUCCAACCUGCCGAUAACUCCGGAAUAGCCUUUCGAAAGAAAGAUUAAUACCGGAUAGCAUACGAAUAUCGCAUGAUAUUUUUAUUAAAGAAUUUCGGUUAUCGAUGGGGAUGCGUUCCAUUAGUUUGUUGGCGGGGUAACGGCCCACCAAGACUACGAUGGAUAGGGGUUCUGAGAGGAAGGUCCCCCACAUUGGAACUGAGACACGGUCCAAACUCCUACGGGAGGCAGCAGUGAGGAAUAUUGGUCAAUGGGCGAGAGCCUGAACCAGCCAAGUAGCGUGAAGGAUGAAGGCUCUAUGGGUCGUAAACUUCUUUUAUAUGGGAAUAAAGUUUUCCACGUGUGGAAUUUUGUAUGUACCAUAUGAAUAAGGAUCGGCUAACUCCGUGCCAGCAGCCGCGGUAAUACGGAGGAUCCGAGCGUUAUCCGGAUUUAUUGGGUUUAAAGGGAGCGUAGGUGGAUUGUUAAGUCAGUUGUGAAAGUUUGCGGCUCAACCGUAAAAUUGCAGUUGAAACUGGCAGUCUUGAGUACAGUAGAGGUGGGCGGAAUUCGUGGUGUAGCGGUGAAAUGCUUAGAUAUCACGAAGAACUCCGAUUGCGAAGGCAGCUCACUAGACUGUCACUGACACUGAUGCUCGAAAGUGUGGGUAUCAAACAGGAUUAGAUACCCUGGUAGUCCACACAGUAAACGAUGAAUACUCGCUGUUUGCGAUAUACAGUAAGCGGCCAAGCGAAAGCAUUAAGUAUUCCACCUGGGGAGUACGCCGGCAACGGUGAAACUCAAAGGAAUUGACGGGGGCCCGCACAAGCGGAGGAACAUGUGGUUUAAUUCGAAGCAACGCGAAGAACCUUACCAGGGCUUGACAUCUGACGAACAUUCUUGAAAGAGAGUGGUGCUCUUCGGAGAGCGUCAAGACAGGUGGUGCACGGUUGUCGUCAGCUCGUGUCGUGAGAUGUUGGGUUAAGUCCCGCAACGAGCGCAACCCUUGUGAUAUGUUACUAACAUUGAGUUGAGGACUCAUAUCAGACUGCCGGUGAUAAACCGGAGGAAGGUGGGGAUGACGUCAAAUCAGCACGGCCCUUACGUCCGGGGCUACACACGUGUUACAAUGGGGGGUACAGAAGGCGGCUACCUGGUGACAGGAUGCUAAUCCCAAAAACCUCUCUCAGUUCGGAUCGAAGUCUGCAACCCGACUUCGUGAAGCUGGAUUCGCUAGUAAUCGCGCAUCAGCCAUGGCGCGGUGAAUACGUUCCCGGGCCUUGUACACACCGCCCGUCAAGCCAUGGGAGCCGGGGGUACCUGAAGUCCGUAACCGAAAGGAUCGGCCUAGGGUAAAACUAGUGACUGGGGCU
rnacentral:rRNA from 1 species